GGAUGAGAACGUCCGCAGCUCUGAUUGGCUGAAAGUGAAAAACGGAACUGAUGCACUUGAUUGGUCAGACACUGUCAUUAUGUUCAGUUAAAAUCAUCAUGCCAGCAAAACGAAACUUGAAGAGACAUUUGAAUUCUGACGAGACUCAACCAGAGACGCCAAGAACAACAAAACACAGAAGACUUCAACCGAACCAGAAAAAGAGAAAACUGUUCUACAAGAGAUUUCUCAGUACAUCUUCAGUUCCAAGAACAUCCCUUUACAGAAGAAAAGUUACUGAAAAGAUUUGUCUUGCAGAUCAUAGUAAUGCAGAUACUUACCAAGAAGUGGAUAGAGAGACACAGGAGGACAGAGAGGAAGAUGAUGGAAGUGGACAAGAGGACAGAGAGGAAGAUGAUGGAAGUGGACAUG